AUCACCUGACUACACACGGGUCCUUUCCCCUUUUUUUGUGCGUUUGUAAAUGUUCGGGGCAGUUGCAUACAAUUAGCAUGUUUUGACUGUUUUUUAUAUAUAGCUUAGAGAAUGCCGUUUUCUGUCAUGUAGAGUACGAUUCAGUUCUGAAUCCUUUCUGACGAGACGCACGCAACAGGAUGGGCUCUUGGUAGACUCCAGAAAUCUAGCGGUACCUUGUUAGCUCAUAGCCAGUCAUUAUGCCACCGCAUGAUCCGACCUUGUAGCAGUUAGCUAUUAGUUAGUUCCUCUGCUGUAGAUCACCGCUACGUUUGGCAAUGUCUUCUAUCCUGGAUGAAUACGAAGACUCGCAGAACAUCAGGCACCCUGUGCAACAUAGUAGCCGCCUGUCUGCUGCCAACAUCGGCAUAACGCAUUCAGGGUUUGUGAAUGUGAGACUUGAAGAGGAGAAGCCGAUAUUCAACAAACAGAGGAUUGAUUUCUCACCCCCAGAGAAGAUCAACCACUUUGCUGUCUGUAACAAUCAGCUAUGCAUGAGUUUAGGGAAGGACACUCUGCUGAGGAUUGACCUUGCCAAGCCAGACCAGCCCAACCAGAUAGAACUGGGGAGGAAGGAGGACAGCAGAGUACACAAGCUCUUCCUGGACCCCACAGGGUCCCACCUGGUGAUUUCUCUCAGUACCAGCGAGUGUCUGUAUCUGAACAGGAACACCCAGAAGGUGAGGUCUCUGUCCCGCUGGAGAGGACACCUCAUAGAGAGUGUAGGCUGGAACAAGCUGCUAGGGACAGAGACCAACACUGGGCCCAUCCUAGUGGGAACCAGCCAGGGAAUCAUCUUCGAGGCUGAGAUCUCUGCUUCAGAGGGAAGCCUGUUUAACACCAACCCUGACCAGUACUUCAAACAGGUCCACUCCCUGGAGGAGGACGGGAAGCCUGCUCCUGUGUGCUGUAUAGAGGUGGAGAGAGGUCCGGAGUCUAAAGUCGUCAUCAUCGCCACCACCAGGAAGCGUCUGUUCCAGUUCGUAGGUCGUGUGGCGGAGGGGUCCGAGCAGCAAGGCUUCAGCUCCGUCUUUUCGCAGAACCAGGAGCUGCUGCCCAGCUUCCAGGAGUUUCCGUUUAACAUGGGCUACAGUGAGAUCACCUUCUACACCUCCAAGCUCAGGUCCUGCCCCAAGGCCUUCGCAUGGAUGAUGGGUAAUGGAGUUCUCUACGGUCAGCUGGACUACAUCAGGCCGGACUCGGUGCUCAGUGAUGUGCAGGUGUGGGACUACACCCCAGACAUAGACUUCAGUUUCAACAAGCCCAUCUCCAUCGUGUUGACUCAGUUCCACUUUCUACUCCUCCUCCCCGACCGCGUCAAGGCCAUCUGCACCCUCAACGGACAGGUGGUGUACGAGGAUGUGUUUCCUGAUAAGUUCGGCACUCUGAAGAAGAUGAUCAAAGACCUAGCAGGAGGCCUGGUGUGGAUCUAUACUGAGAAGGCUGUCUUCAGAUACCACAUCCAGAGAGAAGCCAGGGAUGUGUGGCAGAUGUACAUGAGCAUGAACAAGUUUGACCUGGCUAAGGAGUACUGCCGGGACCGGCCAGAGUGCAUGGACAUGGUCCUGGCUAAGGAGGCAGAACACUGCUUCCAGAACAAACGCUACUUGGAGAGCGCUAAAUGCUACGCUCUGACCCAGAACUACUUCGAAGAGAUUGCUUUGAAGUUUAUCGAGGCAAAACAGGACGAGGCUCUGAAAGAGUUCCUGCUGAAGAAACUCAAUAAUUUAAAACAGAGUGAGAAGACCCAGAUCACCCUACUGGUCACUUGGCUGACUGAGCUCUACCUGAACCGCCUGGGGCUUCUCCAAUCAGACGAGGGGAAACGUGGGUUGUUCCAGGAGACGCGUGAUGAGUUCCGGAAGUUCUUCAGUAGCUCCAAACACAAGGAGUGUCUCUAUAACAACCGAACGACCAUCUAUGACCUGCUGGCUAGCCACGGCAACGUGGACGACAUGGUCUACUUCUCUGUCAUCAUGCAGGACUAUGAGAGGGUGAUCUCCCAUCACUGUCAGCAUGAUGACUAUAGCGCCGCCCUGGAGGUGCUCUCUAAGCACUGCGACGAGAAGCUCUUCUAUAAGUUCUCUCCCAUCCUCAUGCAACACAUACCUAAGAAGGUGGUGGACGCCUGGAUCCAGAUGGGUUCCAGGCUGGAACCUAAGAAGCUGAUCCCAGCCCUGGUCAACUACAGUCAGAUGGGCUCAACACAACAGGUCAACGAGACCAUCCGCUACAUGGAGUUCUGUGUCUACCAGCUCACUGUGACAGAAGAGGCCAUACACAACUACCUGCUGUCCCUCUACGCCAAGUACAAACCUGAGAGUCUCUUGUUGUACCUGGAACAGGCUGGUACCCACGCGUCAUACAUCCACUAUGACUUAAAGUACACCCUGAGGCUGUGUGCUGAACAUGGUUACCUCCAGGCCUGCGUUCUGGUCUAUAAGAUCAUGGAGCUGUAUGAGGAAGCUGUCGAUCUGGCCUUGCAAGUGGAUGUGGACCUGGCCAAGUCAUGGGCUGACCUGCCUGAGGAUGAUGAGGAGGGUUGAGGAAGAAGUUGUGGCUGAAGAUCUGCUCAGUCAUGUGGUGCAAAUCCAGGAGAAGGAUGUUGAAGAAGGCCAUGAACUGUCUGUCCAGCUGUAACCUGCUCAAGAUCUAAAGACAUCCUGCCCUUCUUCCCGGACUUGCUGUCACCAUGACCACUUCAAGGAGGCUAUCUGCAGCUCUUUAGAGGAGUACAACCAGCAUAUAGACGAGCUGAAGCAGGAGAUGGAGGAGGCGACGGAGAGCGCCAAGCGGAUCAGAGAGGACAUCCAGGAGAUGAGGAACAAGUACGGGGUGGUGGAGAACCAGGAGAAAUGUGCUGCCUGCGACUUCCCCCUCCUCAACAGACCCUUCUAUCUGUUCCUCUGUGGUCACAUGUUCCACUACGACUGCCUCUUCCUGGAGGUGACCCCUCACCUGUCCACCUACAAGCAGACUAAACUAGGUGAGCUGCAGAAGAAGUUGGCUGCAGCCACUCAGACCUCAAGUCUCGCCACCGCCCCGCCCCCAAGGAGAAGGAGGAGGGGGCGACACCGCCAGCCUGGGAAAAGAGAGUGCUGGAGUCAGCCGUGAGCAAAUCAAGUCAGACAUCGAUGACAUCAUCGCGUUUGAAUGCGUGUACUGCGGCGAGUUGAUGAUCAAGUCGAUCGACAAGCCGUUUAUUGAUCCACAGAAGUUGGAGGAGGAGAAGUCCAGCUGGCUCUGAGUUAAAUGGUUGGCGGCUUGGAGCUGAAAUGAGCUAGGUCUGAAAUGGACUGCCUGAUAUGAGGUGGGACAAUUUGACUGAAAAAGGUCUGAAAUUAGUGAAAUGGGCUUUAACUGUCUGAACAGAUGAGAAGUGAAAUAGACUUGUGUGAAAUGACUGAAAUGCGCAGCGUGUGCUGUCUGAAAUGGAACCGACCAGUGUGUACACUGUAGGCCAGGAAAUCAGCUGUUAUUCUCUUUGAUAAUGGGAUGUACAGCCACAGCUGCACAGUGCCGGGCGAUGGAUACUCACAGGAGUGGGGAAGAAUGCAGGCGCUCCUAUAUAAGCCCUAUAAGUGUCUCUGUAACAUGAUAUAUUCUACAGACACUCUCUCUGCGAAGCUUAAAAAAACUGCACUAUGUCGGGAUCACACACCUUGGUUUAUUAAACAUUACAAGAUCAGUUCCCUAUCUUUUACACUCAUCUGUCUAAAUUAACAAAUUAACCUGUGAAAUGUUCUCUGAAAUUGAAUGCAUAUUUAUAAAUCUUCACUGGUAUUAGAUAGUUCCACUGGCUAUUGACAUGAAUAGUGCUAUAAAAAGGUAUGUAAAGAACUACAGUUUUUGUUAUUAGUGUCCUUUAUGACAUCAUGAGAACUUUCUUCACACCUGUUUCAUUGGCUGACAGUUUAUGUUGUGACAUCUGAGAUCAGGUCAAUGUAACCCACUUUUGGUUUGCAAAAUGCACCUAUGAAAAUUAAACUAAUCUUUAAUUCUG